UCAGUUAUGGUUUUUUUGAUGGUACGCACAGUUACUUGGAUAACUGUGGUAAUUCUAGAGCUAAUACAUGCAAAUAGAGCCCCGACCAUUCGCUGGAAGGGGUGCUUUUAUUAGAUCAAAACCAAUCAGGCUCGAAAGGGCUUGUUUGUCUUGGUGACUCUGAAUAACUUUGGGCUGAUCGCAUGGUCUUGUACCGGCGACGCAUCUUUCAAAUGUCUGACUUAUCACACUUUCGAUGGUAGGCUCUGCGCCUACUAUGGUUGUAACGGGUAACGGGGAAUCAGGGUUCGAUUCCGGAGAGGGAGCCUGAGAAACGGCUACCACAUCCAAGGAAGGCAGCAGGCGCGCAAAUUACCCACUCCCAGCACGGGGAGGUAGUGACGAAAAAUAACGAUGCAGAACUCAAUCCGAGGCUCUGCAAUCGGAAUGAG
rnacentral:rRNA from 1 species